rnacentral:lncRNA from 1 species
CAGCUGAGGAAGUGGAAGGCCCUCCAUCUGGCUGGUGUCGCCCUGCUUAGAAGAUUUCGGAAGAAGCAGGCAAAGUCGAAGGAGGAAGAGAUCUUGGACGUGGAGAUCCUGCGGAAACAUCUGCAGGAACAGGGGCCCUACUACUCCCAGUGGCCGAUCCAGGAUACCACACACCCUCGAGGCCACAAGUUCCAGGCCUGGGAAGAUGUUAAGCCCUUCCUGCUGACCAGUGGUACCACCAGAACCUUUGAAAAGCGACGAGAGGCCACUAGGACCUUGAUGCUGGAGUGGGAGCGCCGCAAGCUGGAGGAGCAAGCCAGGGAAGAAAAGCGCCGAGCUCAGGAGCAUCGGGUCCAGAAGCAGGUGGCUCGGUGCCUGGCAGC